GGGGAUGUAGCUCAGUGGCAGAGUAUUUGCCAAGCUUGUGUAAGACCCUGGGUUCAAUUCCCAGUACUACCA
rnacentral:tRNA from 1 species